rnacentral:rRNA from 1 species
CCUACGGGAGGCAGCAGUGGGGGAUAUUGCACAAUGGGGGGAACCCUGAUGCAGCGACGCCGCGUGGGUGAAGGAGUGCUUCGGCAUGUAAAGCCCUAUCGGCAGGGAAGAAGCAAGACGGUACCUGACUAAGAAGCCCCGGCUAACUACGUGCCAGCAGCCGCGGUAAUACGUAGGGGGCAAGCGUUAUCCGGAUUUACUGGGUGUAAAGGGAGCGUAGGGGGCAUGGCAAGCCAGAAGGGGAAACCCGGGGCUUAACCCCGCAGAUUGCUUUUGGAACUGUCAGGCUGGAGUGCAGGAGGGGCAGGCGGAAUUCCUGGUGUAGCGGUGAAAUGCGUAGAUAUCAGGAGGAACACCGGUGGCGAAGGCGGCCUGCUGGACUGUAACUGACACUGAGGCUCGAAAGCGUGGGGAGCAAACAGGAUUAGAUACCCGGGUAGUC